rnacentral:rRNA from 1 species
GACGAACGCUGGCGGCGUGCUUAACACAUGCAAGUCGAACGGAAAGGCCCUGCUUGCAGGGUACUCGAGUGGCGAACGGGUGAGUAACACGUGGGUGAUCUGCCCUGCACUUCGGGAUAAGCCUGGGAAACUGGGUCUAAUACCGGAUAGGAGCCAUUUUUAGUGUGAUGGUUGGAAAGUUUUUUCGGUGUAGGAUGAGCUCGCGGCCUAUCAGCUUGUUGGCGGGGUAAUGGCCUACCAAGGCGGCGACGGGUAGCCGGCCUGAGAGGGUGGACGGCCACAUUGGGACUGAGAUACGGCCCAGACUCCUACGGGAGGCAGCAGUGGGGAAUAUUGCACAAUGGGCGCAAGCCUGAUGCAGCGACGCCGCGUGGGGGAUGACGGCCUUCGGGUUGUAAACGCCUUUCGCUAGGGACGAAGCUUUUUGUGACGGUACCUAGAUAAGAAGCACCGGCUAACUACGUG